GUCGGAGAGGGAGGGAGGGAAGGAGAGCAGCAGAAAGUGCGGGAGCUGGCGCCCGGAGACGGAGAGCGAGUGGAUGAGCGAGCGAGGAGAGGCACUGGAGGAAGAGGAGGCGCGUGGAUCCUGGCAGGGAGGGUCCAGAUCCGGUCGAGGGCGGGGCGACCGGCGGCGGCGCCUUCAACUCCGGGGUGGCGAGCUUGCUUCCUGAGAGAGCAAAGAGUGAGCUGAGAGACAUGGAGAGAGAGAGAGAGAGCACGGGAGGGAAGGAGAAAGGAAGAGGGAGGCGGGCCGUGGUUGGUUCUCCGGCGGCACUGGAUCGGUGCACGGGCGCGGAGCUCCUGCUCGGGGACGCGAAGAUCCAGGGAGGCACUCGGGUGCGAGGCUGCGGGUCAAUGCAGAGAUGGCGCUGCUCCCCAAAAUCCACCCCUUCUCUUCUUUGGUCCAAUCUGGACUGUUAAUUCCGUCAAGAGGUGUGAGUCAUCGUUUUACUGGAUGCUCUCUCGAUCGUUUCUUCCUAUGGAUUUUGUGGGUAGCAAAAUGUUCUCUCGGUAUGGAUCUAAAAAGGGACCAACUCUUAUGAAAUACUUCUUAGACAGGACAUGCGAUUUUGAUAGAAUUUUCUAUGAUAUUUUGGGAAAAUUUAUGUUAUAUAGCAUGCUUCAGUAAUUCUUUUAGCUCAAGCUAGCUCCCUUGGUGAUUCUUUUCAAUGAAAGACUUGCUCUCCAAUAUGUGGUUUGGUAUUUCUUGAUUGCAAGUAUUUAGCACCUACAACUGAACUGAAGACCAACAAGUAUUUAAGCAACACAUAUGUUUGGUACGCAUGUGUUAUAACCACAUCAGCAAAGUUUCUGCACAUCAUGAUUAAGGGGUGAAGAAAUCAUGUUUGCCAAUGGCCAUCGAUUAAACCGCAGUAUUUUCCAUGAACUGUGGUAACUCUUGCCUAUAAAAACUGCAUGAAAAAAAAAUAGUUUUGCUUCAGGUACCAUAACCAGAGUCACUUAUUCGGCAUGGUUUUAUACUGGAAUUAACCACAUAACUAAUUUUGUUUUACCACCUUGACGCCUUCAGUUACAUAGGACUUCUGUCAAUGCCCAACCGAUAAUGAACAGGUACAAUUUUAUAGAUGGUUCAAGUGAAGCUGUGCAAAGUGAACCAAUUCUGCAAGCAACCAUGUCAUACAUUUUUCCUUGGUAGAAUUAACAUGUAUAGAUCAUUUUAUUGUGUACAACAAGUCAACAAUACACUGUUUGUAUAUCAUUGCUUUGGUCAAUUUCUGCCGUCGUGCUUCUGUGAAAAUGUGACCAGGAACUAACUAUGUGGUAAUUCAGUAAUCAGUAUAGAAUCUGACACUAAAUAAUACUCCAUCCGUUCACUAAUGUAAGACCUUUUAGCUUUUUCUUGAUCGUUUUCUCUUCUUCAGUUGUUGGCUGACGUGCAACAGUUUUUCUUGAACCGAGUACUUUGCACCAUAUUUUGAACUUUCUAAUUUUGUUCCAUGACAUGUUUUUGCAACCUUCCAUUUAAAAUUAGGUCCGGAGGCCUUUUGAUGGCAAUAAAAUUUACCUUUGUUUGUUCAUGCUUCAUGAAUUUUAGAUUCUGACAGGUUUGGGUCCAUCUAUAACAUGCUUGACCGGGCGAUCACGCGGCCGUCAAGCACUCUUAUCUACUGGUCAUAAGCUUUUACCAACUAAGAUGUUGUCGGUCGGGUGUCCUCUACUACUGAAGUUUUACCACCAUCUGGUGGUGCUUGAGAUCAGAGACGACAUACUUUCAUCAGCAGCGGCCAAAUCCCCAGCGCCGCCUGUGUUGUACACCCCUGUACCCCUCGACAUCCAGUGCCUCGCGUCUGCCCAACAUGAACACCUCCUCAAUAGUUGAUUUUGCUCCAGGAUAGUUCCCUUUAUGCGCAUGAACUAAUGGGUGUGUUCACAACGUAGAGCAGCUUCUCCUUCCAGUCUCAUGUCUUUCUCUUCAGCAGGGAUCAGUGAGUACUACCGAGCAAAAAUGCCCUUCUCUUCGUCAUAUUUCUUCCUUUUCCUUACUACUUUUGUGGCUCCAAAACUCUUGAUGGCUCUAUGUCUGUUCUUUUUGUUGACAUGGAUUUUACCCUGAAAGUUUCCUUCUGAUCUACAAUGUUCUGCUAUCUAAAUUCGUCUGUAUAUUGUGAAUGAGUAGACACUGGUGCAGAAGCCCAAUUGGAUGAAAAUACGGACUAUAGAGAGGUGUAAUUAUUAAUUAAUUUCUUGCUUUAAAAGAUAUGCAACUAGCAGAGUUUCUUAUUUUCAUCAAUUGGAUUAUGACCAAAGUGAAGAACUUAUGUGGACAGUCUGGCAGAUUUCAGUGGCAAGAUUUUUUUACAAUUUCAGUGGCAGAUUUCAGAAAUUUGUAGAGCACAGGAUUUACAAGAACAAGAUAUUCUGUCAAGCCAUGGAUAUCAACAAUCAGUCAAGCAAAGAAAUAUUCAUGGGAGAUAUACAGGGAUCCACAAGAAUGUGCAUCGUAUGUCACUACUCACUACCCUUUUGUCAUUGAGCCACUAUCACAUUUUGGUCAGCAAUCACUUCAAGCAAUUCUCAGCGCCAUUAGUCAGAAGCUUGAAUACAUCUGAACGAACAGUACAUCAAGCCACAGAAGAAAGAGUGGUCAUCUCUUUUUCUUGGUACAAAGAUGCCAUACAAGCAUUCAGACUUCUGAAUCGCACAAGCAGUUUGUAUAUAAAUGGUGUGCCAUAUCGUUUUAACAUGGACACUUCAAAAGAAUAUCUGCCAAAAGUGGUCGCUGAUCACUAUGAUUAUAGACUUAUAGUAGCCCUAAAGAGUUUGCCUUGCGUUUGCGUUCACAUGUAGUUGAAGUUUUAGCCUUUUAGAAGUAUAUGGCGUUGCUUAAACUAUGUUUCUUUUGGCAACAACAUAUGAAAUGGAGAAAGUUUUGUUGUUAUGGAAAA